UACAUAGGUGGCGAGCGUUGUCCGGAUUUACUGGGCGUAAAGAGCGCGCAGGCGGUCGUUCAAGUCGGAUGUGAAAGCCCCCGGCUCAACUGGGGAGGGUCAUUCGAUACUGAUCGACUCGAAGGCAGGAGAGGGAAGCGGAAUUCCCGGUGUAGUGGUGAAAUGCGUAGAUAUCGGGAGGAACACCAGUGGCGAAGGCGGCUUCCUGGCCUGUUCUUGACGCUGAGGCGCGAAAGCUAGGGGAGCAAACGGG
rnacentral:rRNA from 1 species